GGGGAGAAAGGGUUUUAUUUUAGCUUACAGGCAACAGUGCCUCAUUAAAGGAAGCCAGGGUAGGAUUUGAAUAAGAAACCGGAUGCUUGCUGGCUCACUCACAGGGUCAUACUUAGCUGCCCUUCUGAUAGAGACCAGCACCUAGGGAAUGGUGCCACCCACAGGGGACUGGGCCUUCCAAUAUCAACUGGCAAUGCACUUCCUUACAGAUAUGUCUAUGGAACAAUCUAACCUGGGCAGUUGAUCAAUUGAGACUCUCUUCUCCUUGUGGAUCCAGCUUCAAUGGAACUGACCCCUUCUAGACAUGGCUCUUCUCUGGUCUUCUUAGCCCCUGAUGGUUGCUAGGCAACCCUAUUAAGUUCCCCAGCUGAGAUCACUCAGUAACCAAGUCACUGUAUGGAACUACCUUGGUCUGGCAUCCUCAUCCCUACUUCCUCACUUGCCCCGACUCCUACGGAUCUUGUGAGCUGAAGACGGAGAGAAGCAUUGUCCUAAACCUGCAGUCGCCUUGGAUUUUUUGGAAGUACAAAACCUGAAAGGUCAGGCUACCCCCAGAUGACAGUGAUCACCCAUGAGGGCCAAGCUGCAUUCUGAAGUGGAAGUGACCCUCUCACAGGAGCCAGAUUGACUCAUAGUAGCAUCUUGAGGCCAUCACACUGGUGAGGUGAUGAUCAAGGAGAUGGCAUCUUGACCAGGACUUCUUCAUGAUGCCAACAUUUUGUUCUUUGCCCCAACUCAAAUCUAAAGCUAUUAUCGGCAUCUUAAUCUUCUAAAAUCUUGGGGGUCACUGUUCCUCUCCUCUAUUUGGACACUUGAGAAUAAAUCUCUCUCUCUGGUUUUUACUGCU
ensembl:lincRNA 1700025D23Rik RIKEN cDNA 1700025D23 gene